rnacentral:pre_miRNA from 1 species
AAAAAGCGUUUGUACCGGACAUAUCUAACGUCUAACCGUUUAUUUUAUUUGAAAAAUUCUUAUGAUUAGUAUUUUUAUUGUUAUUAGAUGAUAAAACAUGAAUAAUAUUUUAUGUGUGAUUUUUAUAAUUUUUUUAUAAACUUUUUAAAUAAAACGAACGGUGAAUCCAAACAUUGAAUACAGAUAUCACGAUUGCACUUGAA